AUUUAUGUAGCUUAAUAAAAGUGUGGCACUGAAAAUGCCAAGAUAGAUUUUAAUAACAUCUCAGAAAUA
rnacentral:tRNA from 1 species